rnacentral:rRNA from 1 species
GAUGAACGCUGGCGGCGUGCCUAAUACAUGCAAGUCGAGCGAACAGACGAGGAGCUUGCUCCUCUGACGUUAGCGGCGGACGGGUGAGUAACACGUGGAUAACCUACCUAUAAGACUGGGAUAACUUCGGGAAACCGGAGCUAAUACCGGAUAAUAUAUUGAACCGCAUGGUUCAAUAGUGAAAGACGGUUUUGCUGUCACUUAUAGAUGGAUCCGCGCCGCAUUAGCUAGUUGGUAAGGUAACGGCUUACCAAGGCGACGAUGCGUAGCCGACCUGAGAGGGUGAUCGGCCACACUGGAACUGAGACACGGUCCAGACUCCUACGGGAGGCAGCAGUAGGGAAUCCUCCGCAAUGGGCGAAAGCCUGACGGAGCAACGCCGCGUGAGUGAUGAAGGUCUUCGGAUCGUAAAACUCUGUUAUUAGGGAAGAACAAAUGUGUAAGUAACUAUGCACGUCUUGACGGUACCUAAUCAGAAAGCCACGGCUAACUACGUG